rnacentral:tRNA from 1 species
AGCAGAGUGGCGGCGUGGAAGCGGCGGGGCCCAUAACCCUGAGGUCGAUGGAUCGAAACAAUCCUCUGCUA